rnacentral:rRNA from 1 species
CCCAGACUCCUACGGGAGGCAGCAGUGGGGAAUAUUGCACAAUGGGGGGAACCCUGAUGCAGCGACGCCGCGUGGGUGAAGGAGCACCUCGGUGCGUAAAGCCCUAUCGGCAGGGAAGAAAAGCGAACAGGUUCGCCUGGACGGUACCUGACUAAGAAGCCCCGGCUAACUACGUGCCAGCAGCCGCGGGAAUACAUAGGGAGCAAGCGUUAUCCGGAUUUAUUGGGUGUAAAGGGUGCGUAGACGGGAAAUUAAGUUAGUUGUGAAAUCCCUCGGCUUAACUGAGGAACUGCAACUAAAACUGAUUCUCUUGAGUACUGGAGAGGAAAGUGGAAUUCCUAGUGUAGCGGUGAAAUGCGUAGAUAUUAGGAGGAACACCAGUGGCGAAGGCGACUUUCUGGACAGUAACUGACGUUGAGGCACGAAAGUGUGGGGAGCAAACAGGAUUAGAUACCCGGGUA